AUUUGCAACGUGCGGCCACACCUAUGAGGCAGGAGUGCAGUGGCGAGAUCUUGACUCACUGCAACCUCUGCCUCCUGGCUUCAAGCAAUUCUCAUGCUUCAGCCUGUAGCUGGAACUACAGGUCACUCCCUCUGGAGGAAACCAGCUGCCACUUUGUGAGGAUACUCAUGGCCCUGUGGAGGCAUAUCCUCCAUAUGGCUGAGACCUCCUGCCAACAACCAUCACUGACUUGCCAGACAUGAGUGUGCCACCUUGGAAGCAGAUUUUCCAGCCCCAGUCAAGCCUUCAGAUGACAUCAGCCCCUGCUAAUCUCUUGACUACAACCCCAUGAGAGACCCUGAGCCAGAACUAGGCAGGCUUACCCCUCAUGGUUACAAAGUGGCUGCAACAGCUCCGGGUGUUCUAUCCUUUAACACAGAAUAACUCAAACAACAAGACCCAACAUUCAGACAAGAAGGAAAGGGACUUUUGGAGAGUGAAGAAAACUUUCCUAGAAACCUCAGACUUCUCCCCAUGCCUUAUUGGCCAGAUUGUAUCCUAUGCCCAUUUCUAAACCAAUCAUUGGCAAAGUGAGUGGAAUUGACGUGAUUAGAUUAACUUUACCAAGAAUGCAUCCUCAGAGAGGCUGAGAAAAAGUCCAGCCUCCUUUGAAGAGCCUGGCUACCUUUCACCUGAACAAAACAAGAAUUCUGAUGAAAAAUGGAGAAUGUAUGUGGAGCAGGCACCCGGAGUGUCUAUGCCAGGAUUUUUUUUCAGUGCGUUUCACCGGUUAUAUUUUUGUCUCUUUACCUUACAAGAUAUGUGGCACGUUUGCCUAAAACAAGCCUUGCUUUCUGAUUUCUGUGCACUAGGCACUUAAACCUUGCAAAUGUCGCUUACCUAACAGUCACUGUCAAGGAGUACCUGGCUAAAGAAUCUCCAGCUAGACAAAGUAAAAGUGUCUGUGCUCUGGCAGUUGAAUAUAUUGUAUCAGGCUCAACAGCACCUUUCACCGAAGGAUGAGACUUCACAACCAUUAGAUCUUCUUUUAUUUUGUUUUUAUUAAAAAAAAAA
rnacentral:lncRNA from 1 species